AAAUAGAACUUUGCAGAGAGAGUUAACAGGGCGUGAAACCGUUAAUUGGCAAACGAAUCGGAGCCACGAAGUCGUUUCGAUGCUAGUUGGGCCAGGUUCAGUUUAGAUCCAAAAGAUCUGAAUGUAUUCUUGGUGCAACCAUUGUAAGCGUACACUGCAACCAGUUAGACAAUUGGACAUGGAAAUAGUUUGGGUUAGUAGUAGUGGGGAACAUUUCGGUGUUUUCUGUUGCUGGGCCCAAGUAAGUGAGCUAUGUCCAAAUACUGACUGGCACAUUGAAAAUCGCCUCUGGCGUUUUACACAAUGCUGUUGGCUGCACAAUUGCCUACAUGCUUGACCAUGGGGUUUUAAGCUCGACAUCUUCGAAUUUGGACUGGCCAUCUACUAAGGGGCAACUCUUGGUGUUGGUUUAGCUUCCAUCUAAUCAGGUGUUGACUUGAUUCUAUGUUGCUCGAGUAUGAAACGAUUGGGUAGUUGUGCAAGUUGAUAAGCCAUUGAUUGGCAGUGAGUAGGUCGGCUUUCCGAACGACCCGUCUUGAAACACGGACCAAGGAGUCUAAUUAGGCAUCGAGUCGAUCGGUCUUGAAUAGGCCAGACUGGGGACCUCUCCCCGAGAAGGCGUAGAGACAUGUGAUCAGGGCGACAAAACAGUCCCUAUGCGCAACAUGUGCCUGUUCGUAUAACAAUGUGCAAAAUUGUUGGCGGAGCAAAGAGAUGCUUGAUUGGUACCCGAAAGAUGGUGAUGCCUGGGCAAGUUGAAGCCAGAGGAAACUCUGGUGGAGGACUUAGCUGACGUGCAAAUCGAUCGUCAGACCUGGGUAUAGGGGCGAAAGACUAAUCGAACCAUC
rnacentral:rRNA from 1 species